GCCCAACUUCACGAAUGCCUGCUCUAUUCACUGCUAGUCUAGUCACGAUAGGUCAGAAAUGGAUUUCCAGCAAAGGGUGAAUAUGCUGGUACAUAAAACACAUGAUUUUGUUCAGAAAUUUUAAAAAAAAGCAUAUGAUAGGCAGGACAAUGAAUGAUAUUUGAAAAUAUAGAGUUAGAUAACCUAGACCUAGAAAUACAAACAUCACAUGUUCUAUCUUUGUGAAUCUUAGCUCUGAAUUAUGCGAUUUGAGAAUUUAAUCAGGGGUAACUCUGUAGAAGUUAGUGAACUAGAAAAGGACCAUGGGGGUAGAGGAGGAGAAGUAGCUGGAGAGAGGGGGACAGUAGGAGAAAAUCAUUAUAAAAGGAGUAUGAGAUUUAACUUGGAGGACUUAGAAAGAAGAAAAUUCAGAGGGAGAGAGAGAAAAUAUAAUUUCAUAAGGUUAUUUUAAGACAUAAAUGUAUGCAUAUAUAUCCAUCUAUGCAUGUAUGCAUGAGUGUAUUGUGUAUGUGUUAAAGCUACAUGUAUAGAGUUUAUAUGGAAUUGUCCUACAGACAGUGGUAAUGUUACUUUCAAGAACCACAGACAACUUAAUACUCCAGCUUCAGAUAAGGGAAUCUCUCUUCAAGUUGCUAGUCAUACUUGAAAACAAUUUAGGCUACUGCUACUGCCCUUGGUGGGCACCCAAACAUUGAAGAUAAGACCUUAUUUCUGAAGACGUUGUAAACUUCAUGAACAGGACUUGGAGAAAUCCAGGCCAAGGCUAAAAAUCUUGACCUCUGUGGAAACUUCUUUGAUGAUCCUACAGAUAUGAGAUGAUGGAAUCACCACUCCAAGAAGAAACUUCAGGAAACCUAAAUCAUUCAUAGAAGUCAUGAAUAAACUUCACUUCUAUAAGAUGUGCUCAAAAAAGAGAGACAGACAGACAGACAGGAAGGAAGGAAGGAAGGAAGGAAGGAAGGAAGGAAGGAAGGAAGCAAGAAAGCAAGAAAGCAAGAAAGCAAGAAAGCAAGAAAGCAAGAAAGCAAGAAAGCAAGAAAGCAAGAAAGCAAGAAAGCAAGAAAGCAAGAAAGCAAGAAAGAAAGAAAGAAAGAAAGAAAGAAAGAAAGAAAGAAAGAAAUCAAGAGUAUAUGAAAACAUUUGGAUAUAGUUCUUACACCUAAGGGAAUACCACAGUAGACACCAAUAGCAAGAUGUGUAGAGCACAGUACAGUGAAAUUCUCCAAGGAAAAAUGUAAACAAUAAACUGGGAAGAUGGAUAAAAGGUAA